UUGCUAAUUAGUAAACUAAGUCGAUUGAUCAUCAACCAUCUCACUCCUCUCUCACCAUUUCUCAGUCGAUCGAUUGCCCAUCUUGCUCCUUUCUCACCAUUUCUCAGUCCUUCGAUCGACCAUCUCGUUCCUCACUCACCAGUUCUCAGUCCUUCGGUAGUAGGCCAUACAUCAAUAAAAGGUAUGAUACUUACACAUUAUUAGGUCUUCUUCUUGAGCUUAAUAGGCAUCAUAGCUUUGGCUGAGCUUAAUAGGCAUUAUACAUCAAUAAAAGGUAUGAUACUUAUACAUUAUUAGUAUGAUUUUAGGGUUGGGUCUUCUUCCUGAGCUUAAUAGGCAUCAUACCUUUGGCUGAACUGCUGGGUUGGGCUAUAGAGUAAUUCCCUACACAUUAUUAGUACUUCCCUUACAAUUGGCAUUCAUAACAUAUUUCUUUAUUUUUUUUAAAUUAAAUAAUUUGCAAUGAGAAUUAAACCCUGAUUUCCUAGUUGCCGUAAUACUUCAUUGAUAAACUAGGGAAAAUUCACUGACCUGUAUCUUGAAGUCCAUAUAAUGCAGAUAUGUUGUUUUUAAUGAGGUAAUUCUGUUUCUGAAUAUUGUAUAUGGUUUUGCUUCUUUUUGAUGUAGGCAGUUGUCUUCUUACACCGGUGCUACAGGUUUCUUUUCCUAACUUCUCUAGUCUACUCUUUUAAUUGUCUUAAUGACUAUUUUUAUGCAUUUAUGACCAUUAGUUUUUGUUUAUAUCAGUUUGAUUCUAGAGAUGUAUACUGCUGUUCACACUCAAUUUUGUUUAUUACAUAAAGUUAUUAUCUGAGUUUACUGUGGUCAUUGAAAUUGAUGAGAAUAUGAUAAAGGAAAAACUAAACUAAAUGAUCACACUCUUUAAAAUAAAUUUAUAACCUUGAUGUAAUAUGCUUAGGUGGAUCGAUUUUAGUUGCAUUCACAUAAUUUCAAAUGUUGUUGUUUACAUUUGUUUCACUUUUAUGGUUGAGGGUUGCAUACAUUGUUCAAGUUAUUAACUGGAUUUACUGUGGUCGUCUUUGAAAUUGAUGAGAAUAUGGAAAAUGAAAAACUAAACUAAAAGAUCACACUCUUUAGAAUAAAUUUGUAACCUUGAUGUAAUAUGCUUAGGCGGAUCGAUUUGUAACCUUGAUGUAAUAAGAGGAAUUAUAUUUUUAGAUUCACAAGAGAUGUUCGGACCACAUUCUAAGCCUACAACUUCGUUCAAUGUUGACCUCCAAUGAUUUGCCCUGUCCAUAUCCAUUCCUUUUUUACUUUCAUCAUCUUUUUUCGCCAUGAAUUUCUCUUUGUCCCUACCAAAUGCUUUCUUGAUGCUUCUUGUUUGGUACCUAACAUUGGAUGGUGGUUCAAUUUGAAUUAGGGACACAAUAUUAUGGAUAAGGGGUGGAUGGAAUUACCUAUAUAUUCUAGCGAAUAUCUUGCAGGCCUAGAUAUAUUUCUGAACUUUGGUUUCGAAAAAGUUGGCAUGGUCACGGGAAGAAUUCCUUGUCCAUGUAAGAAUUGCGUGAAUGGAAGAUACCAGAUUCGAACAACUAUUCGUGAACAUUUGAUUUGUGAUGGAUUUAUGUUUGGCUACACGAAUUGGGUGCAUCAAGGUGAAGAUGAGAUUGUCAGGGAUGUGAGAAAUGAUGAUGUUCACGACGAACCAUCACAAUCCGAAGAUGAUCAUCAUAUGCAUGAGAUGAUAAAUGAUAUAUUUAGGGAUCACGGUGUGGAAUCGUCGGCUGAAGCUACAAAAUACCAAAAGUACAUGGAUGAGGCCAAUCAACCUUUAUAUCCUGGAUGUGAAAUGGAGAUUGUCCUUUCAUUCAUUGUAUGGCUUUUCAAUCAUAAAAAUGUUAGCAAAUGGACUAAUGUGUCCUUUGAUGGUUUGCCCCGUAAGUUCAAGUCAUCAUUUCCAGCAUUUGCAAACUUGCCUGAUAAUUUUUAUGAAAUGAAGAAAAUGGUUGGAAAUUUAGGGUUUGGUUAUGAGAAGAUUGAUGCAUGCGAGAAUGAUUGUAUGCUCUUUUGGAGGGAGAAUAAAAAAUUAGAGUCUUGUACAGUUUGCAAAUCAUUAAAAUGGAAGCAGACUAAGAUGGUUGUACCAGAACAGGCACAAAUAAAUACAAAUGCUAAGAGGAGCAAAGUAGCUGUGAAGCAAUUAUGUUAUUUAGCAUUAAUUCUGAGAUUGCAGAGGCUAUUUAUGUCUGUAGAAACUGUAAAAUACAUGACGUGGCAUCAUGUAAAGCGACAGAAAGAUGGAGUGAAUCGUCAUCCAGCUGACUCUGCAGCUUGGAAGUAUUUGGAUACAAUGUACCCUACAUUAUCUUAAGAACAUCGAAAUGUAAGACUCGGACUGUCCACUGAUGCCAUGAGUCCCUUUACCCAUGGGUCACUGUAUAGUAUAUGGCCAAUGACAAUUGUUGUUUAUAACUUAUCACCAUGGAUGUGUAUGAAGCAGGAGUAUUUUAUCAUACCGUUGUUAAUACUUGGUCCAAACUCUCCAUGUAAUGAUAUUGACGUGUAUAUGCAACCUUUAAUUGAGGAGUUGAAGAUACUAUGGAGUAAUGGGGUUGAAACGUAUGAUGCAUCUAUCGAUACAAAGUUCCAAAUGCGUGCUGCAUUGUUAUGGACAAUUAGUGAUUUUCCAGCUCUUGCUAUGUUGUUUGGUUGGAGCACUAAAGGUAAGUUGGCUUGUCCAUCAUGUCAAAUGAACACUCGUUCUUGUAGAUUACAAAGUAAGGAAUGUUAUAUCGGGCAUCGUUGUUUUCUGGAGUCGGGUCAUAGUUAUAGGUUUGAUACACGAAGAUUUAAUGGGGAAUGUGACCAUAGUGAAGCUCCGGUGGUGCCAUCGUGUUAGAGUUUACGCCCUAGAGGCCAAUUAUUUGAUAUAAUUGCUUAACAUUUUGAUAUUAUAUUUGAUUGAAUAAAUGAAUGAUUUUAUUAUGAUUUUAUUUACUGUGUUAUAUAAUUGUUAACAUAAUAAAAUUCCUUAGAAUAGUGAUACAAAUUAUAUAAUUUCAAGUAUGUGACUUGAACAUGAGAUUAUAUAAUUACAAUUAGUAUCAUUGUUCUUAAAUGUCCCUAGUCGAGUAUCAUUGUUGAUGGGACAACAUUGAUGCAUUGAGACUAGUAUGUGGAUUGACUGAUGACCAAAUCUCAUUGGUCAUAAAUAUAUGAGAUAUUAAGUCAAUGCAUAGGUACAUGUUAGAGAACGAUGUACUGGACAGACCCACCAUGAGAAUUCUAUAUGGAGCAUUAUGCGAAGUGUCAUUAGCAAUUCUCAUAGUGACAAUGAUGUAAUGGUCCUCCGACCUGAAAUCGCUAUAUUACUACACGAGAAUUUAUGUACUUUGAUAUCAUCAAAUGUCACCUUUAAUAGGGUGGACUAUAAAGGUGAUUAUUGGGUUCAUCAUUAAUCGUGUGAGAAAUAUGAGUGAUCUAGAUGGAAUUUAACCAUCCUAUAUAUUAUGGGUGAUAUCCAUAGGCCUCUUGAUUGAGUAGGACUAUGAAAUGCAUGGCCAUGCUCAAAUAGUGAUUUGUUUCAUAUAGUCUACUCAUUGAUCAAGAAAACUCAGAUUAAAUUAUGAAGAGUAUGACACAUUCCAUGACUCGAGUUUAAUCUAGGAUAUUAAGGUUAAAAGGAUUAAAUUACAUUGAAACAUUGGUCACGAAAAGGUUGCAUCGAAUCAUCGAUCUUAUUAUUACUUGGGUAGCAGUGAUGCAUUACUAGAUGCCGCUCACUGUUUAUAAUUUUAUAAUAUGAUUUUAAAAUUAUUGCCAACGUAAUAAUAACCUAUAGGGUCACACACAUAGAACAUAAUUUAAAAUGGAAUUAAUUUAAAUUUCAAGGAUUUAAAUAUAUUAAUAUGAUUAAUAGUAUUUAAAUCACGAAUUUAAAUUAAAAAGGAUAAUUUGUAUAUAUGUAUAUUAAUUAAGUAAGACUUAAUUAAGAUAUAUAUAUAUAUAUAUAUAUAUAUAUAUAAAUUCGGAUUUUAUUAAAAUACGUUUUUGAUUAAUCCCUUUUUAACUACUAUAUAUAUGAUAUAGUAGCCACUUAGGGUAAUAUCAUAACAUCAUAACCCUAGUCGCUCUUAGAGAGAGACUAGAGAGAAACAGUUCUAAAAUCCAUUCCUUUUGGUGGCUAGUAUCGCAGUUUCAUUUACUGCAGAUCAUGCGAUGGUUUGCGGGGCGUUCGUGUGGAUACCAUAGAGGCGCGAUUCAUUUGGAUUGCGUUGGAGAUUCGAGCGCAUCAAUUUCAGAAGCAUUUUCAUUCGGUAUAAUUUCUAACCACUGAAUUAAUUAUUUUCGCAUGGAUCCUGUUUAGGGUUUCGAAAAUUGCUUUAAAUUGUUUUAUUUCUGCUGUGCGUUUUUGUGUCGAAACCCUACACAUCGGGGUUUGAUAUUCUUGAACAAGUUAAUGCCAUUAAUGUCACUUUUGGAAAGACACCCACUAGCACGAAGACCAUUCCCCAUGACUCAAAACAUAAUUGGAGGAAGAAAUCUAUUUUCUUUGAAUUGCCAUAUUGGCGGAUACUUUUGUUACACCACAAUCUAGAUGGAAUGCACAUUGCCAAAAAUAUUUGUGAUAGCAUGAUUGUGACAUUGUUGAGUGUGCAAGGAAAGUCAAAAGAUAAUUUAAAAGCAUGAUUGGACUUGAUGAAAAUGGGUAUAAGAAGAGAGUUCCAUCCAAUACCCGUGCAAGCAAGCAAUUCAAAGUACCUUUUGCCGGCUGCAAGCUAUUCCAUGUCUAAGAAAGAAAGACAUGAUUUCUUGCAAGUGUUGAAAUAGUUUGACACUUGUUUUACCUGCAGCCUCCAUUGUCUGAACCACAGCCUCCAUGGUCUUUGGGGUCCUUUUGAUGUCAAUUGUGAUAUCUGUUAGUGUGAGCCUCUUAAAAUUACUUCAUUAUCAUUAGCUGUAGAAGAUUAAAUAUACACAAUACAUAUUUACAUAUGGUUUAAAAUAAGCAUGCUGAUCAACAAGUGACUCGGAGGAGCAGGUGCCAUGUUUAUCCCAUUCGUGUUCCCCAGAACCUCAACCCCUGACUACUUGGGCAUGUGACUGAUGGCCAAUCUUGUUUUAGUCUGCUGCCAAGAUCUGAAAUCUAUAUAUAAAUUCCAUAAUUAGUAUGCAUGGUCAACUUAAUAUUACAUUUAUUCAGUUCAAUUUAUUACAUUUAUUGAAGUUCAUGUUAUAUUUCAGUUCAUAUAUCUUGAUUCUUCCUCUCUUUUAGGUUCUCGACCUAAAAGAAAGCAUGGACCAACGAUGGGAGCAAAGUUAUGGUCAAAUAUCGAUGCACCCAAGAAAGUAAUUUAUGAUGCAAAUGGUCAACCUGUUGGGGGAGAGGCCAAUAAGUUAACAACCUUUCUCGGGUGUCUUGCUCACAAUGAAGAAUUUUUUUCCAAUAAGUACUCCAACAUGGUCCAAUAUGACAGAGGCUAACAUGACAAGGUCUUGGGAUGAAAUUCAGGUUAUUAAUCAUAGCAUUUUAUAGAAUUUGACAUUAAGCACUUUGAAGGUAAUUUAAUAUAUGUGUAAAUUUGUUUGUUGUAUAAACGAUUUACCUCAGAUCACCCCAAUGCUAAAAGAAAAUUGAUGGCUAUCAUGAACAAUAGGUGGAGAGAUUGGAAGUCUAACUUAAAGAGUAAUAAUUUUGUGCCUGGUGACCGUGCUAAAUCCAUAGCGAAUACUAUCAACAAUGAUCGAGUAAAUCCUAAUCAAUGGGCUGCGUUGGUUGAUUAUUGGCUAACUGAUGAUGCACAAGUUGUGUUUAUUCUAAUUUUAUGUAUUAUCAAUUCUUACUUAUUGUUAUAUAUUAUUAUUAAUUUAUAAAUACAUGCAAUGCAG
rnacentral:lncRNA from 1 species